CAGUCGCCGCGGGAAUACGAAGGGUGCAAGCGUUAAUCGGAAUUACUGGGCGUAAAGCGUGCGUAGGUGGUGGUUUAAGUCCGUUGUGAAAGCCCUGGGCUCAACCUGGGAAUUGCAGUGGAUACUGGGUCACUAGAGUGUGGUAGAGGAUAGUGGAAUUUCCGGUGUAGCAGUGAAAUGCGUAGAGAUCGGAAGGAACAUCUGUGGCGAAGGCGACUAUCUGGGCCAACACUGACACUGAGGCACGAAAGCGUGGGGAGCAAACAGGAUUAGAUACCCCCGUAGUCCCUGUCUCUUAUAC
rnacentral:rRNA from 1 species